rnacentral:snoRNA from 14 species
UGGACCAAAAGUGACAGUGUUUCAUAAUAAAGGAAUAUGAUUAACCCAAUUGUGUUCACCUGAUAACCAUU